rnacentral:lncRNA from 1 species
CUGGACCUUGUUCAUGAAGAGGCUUGGACAACACAGACCACUUUCUCCAGAAGUGGAACAAAUUGCUGCAGAUGUUGCAAUGGAAUGUGCUGGUUUGCCUUUGGGAAUUGUUACAUUAGCCGAAAGUUUGAAGGGAGUGGAUGACCUAUAUGAGUGGAGGAUUACAUUGAAGAGAUUGAAAGAAUCAAAUUUUUGGGACAUGGAAGAUAAGAUAUUCCAGAUAUUAAGAUUGAGUUAUGAUUGUUUAGAUGAUUUAGCACAACAAUAUUUCAUAUAUUGUGCAUUAUUUGAUGAUCAUCAUCAUGAGAUUAAAAGGAAGGAGUUGAUAGAGUCGUUCAUCGAGGAGGGGAUCAUUAAAGAAAUGAGCAGGCAAGCAGCACUUGACAAGGGCCACUCAAUUCUUGAUAGACUAGAAGAUGUCUGCUUAUUGGAAAGAAUUGAUGGUGGUAGUGCUGUCAAGAUGCAUGACUUGCUUAGGGACAUGGCCAUCCAAAUACUGGAUAAGUGCUCUCUAAUCAUGGUAAACUUUACUUUCUAUCAUCCUCCUUUUUUUUUUCUAUAGUUUAACCACUAAUUUUGUUUCAUCAAAGUGCUCUUUGGAUAUAUUAAAAUCAAUGAUCAAGUUGUAGAAUUUGUAGGCAGGAUUCUAUAUUGAUCAGGGAGAACUUAUUUAUUUAUGUUGCUUAAUGAAUAACAUAACUCAAUUUAUAUUAUAGUUUCACUCAUGUCCCUGUUAUCUUCAACUACUUAUCUUUAGAACAAGGAGAAUUUCUUAAAAAACUUUAUUUUAGAUUACUUGGCAAGCUAUUUUUUAAAAAAUUACUUCAAAAUCAAUUUUUAAUUCAAUGUUUAUUUGUAUUUGCAGGGCUAAAGAAGAAAAGAAGAGGAUGAAAUCAGGAUAGACUUUGCUGAUGACAAACUUAAUUCUACUGAUGGGUUUCGGCCAAGACAAAAAGAAAAGAAAAGGGUGAGAGUAAUUGAUGAAAUUGUUAUGUAAAUUGCAUGGAAUUAUGUUAUUAUGAGUAUGCAAGAUAUGGGUGAUGCAUGAGUUCGGAUAAUUGAAAAGGAAAAAAACAAUUCAUACGGAAUUCAGCCACACUAAAAUCUUAUUGAUUUGAAUUGCUUGGAAUGGUUGUUGAAAAUUAAAAUUGUUGUAAUAUUUUUAAUUUUUUAUUAUAUUAAUGAUUAUAUUAUAGUUUGGGUGUAACUUUUAUUAUAUACAAGAUUUUUAUUAUAUCGAGUAGUGAUAAAAGUAAAGAAGUACAAAGGUAUUGGUUCAUCUUGUCAAGAAUUUAACCACAGCAAGAAGCAUACUUCAGCGAGAAAAAAGGAUCCCAAUAGGCUAUUGCAGAGCUGAAUGCAAUUUUCAAGAAAUCUGAGACAGAUGCUCCCAACAAGAUCAUUGGGGGCGGGUUUGCAAAUUAGACUAACAAUGUCGAUUCCAGAAAAUAGACCUUAAGAUGCAGAAUCACAUAUGAGAUUUGAUGGUCAUUGAAAAGAAAAAAAAAAGCUGAAGGCUAUGGAACACAUUGACAUUCCUUAAAGAACAUGGUGGUUCUUUAAUGAUUUUAUAAUUAGAAAAAAAUGCAGGGGUUUUGAACAGUCAGAUACAAAUCUGACAUUUGUGUUCCUUUUUGCUAGAUUUCCAUUAGUCUAAUGGUUCUCUGGCCUUAUUUUUAAAUCCACUCGAUUAUUAUAUAUAUAUAUAUAUAUAUAUAAAACUAGUUUAUAAUGUGAUAGCCUAAUGACCAUGAUGGAUGAUAUUACGUUUUGCACGAAGAUCAGCUUCUUUUUAGGAGCUUUAUAAUGUCAAAUAAAAACACUUUGGAAAAGAUCAAUUUGAAGCGGUUGUUUUGGUUUAUUUUUUAAAUAAAACCAGUUUGAUUAUUUUUUUUUAUAAAAACCCAACCGAACAAAAAAUAAUAACACCUAAUAAAAAAAUAAUUAAAAUAAAUAAAAGUACCAAUUAAAGUAUACAUAUGCUGAUGUAAUUGAUUUUACCUUGAAUGUUGUAUGUUGCAGAGAUUCUUGAUUAUCAAAAGCUUUUGACAAAAUCCACUAAAAGGAGUCCUUAAAACAAAAAAUGUACUGCCACCAUUGUCAAGCACUCUACUUUUUGAUUAAUUUUGAAAUCACCACACAUAUAUAAUAAGAAAAUGACACAUCUUGAUUGGAUUAUCUUUCUUCUCACGAGCAUAUCCAUGCAGAACUCAGUUGAUAAAAAAAUAUAGAUGCAAUCUCUAGAAUUAAGUUUGUUAUCAGCAAAGUCUAUACUGAUUUCAUCCUCUUCUUCUUCUUUAGCCCUGCAGAUACAAAUAAGCAUUGAAUUAAAAAUUGAUUUUGAAGUAAUUUUAAGAAAAAUAGCCUGCCAAGUAAUCUAAAUUAAAGAUUUUAAAGAAAUUCUCCUAGUUUUAAAGAUAAGUAGUUGAAGAUAACAGUGAAGUGAACAAAACUUCGUCAUUGAUUUUAAUAUAACCAAAGAGCACUUUGAUUUAGAAGAAUCAAAACAAAUACAUUAAGAAACAAAAUUAGUGGUUAAACUAUAUAAAGAAAAAAAAAGGGGAGAAUGAUAGAAAGUAAAAUUUACCAUGACUAGAGAGUACUCAUCCAGUAUUUGGAUGGCCAUGUCCCUAAGCAAGUCAUGCAUCUUGACAGCAAUACCACCAUCAAUUCUUUCCAAUAAGCUAACAUUUUCUAGUCUAUCAAGAAUUGAGUGGCCCUUGUCAAGUGCUGCUUGCCUGCUCAUUUCUUUAAUUAUCCCCUCCUCGAUGAAAUAAUCUAUCAACACCCCCCUUUCAAUCUUAUGAUGUUCAUCAAAUAAUGCACAAUAUACAAAACAUUGUUGUGCUGAAUCAUCUAAACAAUCAUAACUCAAUCUUAAUAUCUGGAAUAUCUGAUCUUCCAUGUCCCAAAAAUUUGAUUCUUUUAAUCUCUUCAAUGUAGUCCUCCACUCAUGUAGGUCAUUCACUCCCUUCAAACUUUCUGCUAAUGUAACAAUUCCCAAAGGCAAACCAGCACAUUCCCUUGCAACAUCUACAACAAUUCGUUCCACUUCUGGAGAAAGUGGUAUGUCUUGUCCAAGCCUCUCCGUGAACAAGGUCCAGGAUUCUUCAUCAGAAAGAGCAUCCACUCUUAUAUUGUUUUGGCUAUUCAUCUGACGACAAACAAUUUCUGAUCGAGUUGUCAUAAUGAGCUUGGAUCCUUCCAAUGGGAUAGGAAUCCCUAUUUCUUGUGGCUCAAAAAAGUUCCACAAAUCAUCUAAAAUGAGAAUCCAUUUUUGUUUCUUCGCUAGUUCUUUAGCCAGUUUGACAGCUCUAGACAGAUCAUUAUCUUUGCUUGAAAGAUCUAAAUGAAGAUAUUUAGCAAUAAGAUCUUGCAAUUCUUCAAUCUUGAAACCUUGAGGCACAUUCACCCAGUAAACACUACGAGAAAUAUCUUGUCUUUCUAGAAGCUCAUUGCGGAUAUGUUGCAGCAAUGUUGUUUUACCAACUCCCCCCAUUCCGUAAAUGCCAAUGGUUGAGAUUUCAUCAUCCAUUAACCAAGACCGUAUCACCUUCAUAUUCUGUUCAAAUGCUCGACCCACUAGCUUUGUAGAGCUGGCACUUGUGCCGGACUGCACUAAUCUUCCACUACUGUUCUCCAUUAAUGUAGCUCGUUCUGAUGAGACGUGGGAAGGAAAAUAGGUUUAGGAUCAAUUUAGCUUGAACACCAUAAAGCAUGGAUUAUAUAAACCAAGAAAGACCAAUUGAUUGAAACUAUUAAUGAUCCUAACUCCAAAGAUUCAAACAAUAGUUCCAUGUGAAAAACGAAAUGGUAAGAUAAAAAAAAAAAAAAAGACGAUGAGGUACAAAUAAUUUACCUGGGGAGACAUUUCUGUCAACAUGCUGAAUAAAUCCUUCACAGGUGUUUUCCAUGCCACUUCCUGCUUCUGGAUGCGAACAAAUUAACUCUUCCUCUGCACCUUGUUCCAUGGCCUGAACUCCCACUUGUAUCCUUCCAUCAUCACCUGCCAAUUUAUUAAAUAUUGCAUAGCUUUGCUCCAACAUAGUAGCUACUGGUUCUGUUUUCUCUCUAACUAUGUUCUGCACAUCAUCCAUAAUAGAAGAAAAUAGUAGAUGUGUGUGGAGACUUUCUCUGUUUUGCUAUUUUUUAUUUAUGAAGAACGUGAGCAUACAAUGCUUGAUAGAACUUACAGCAAUAAAUCACUCGAUAGUUUUACAAUGAUGGUGGCAGGGUAUUUAAAGAGUACUGAAGAGGACAUUUACAAGGAUUCUAAAAGCUAAUGACUAGGGAUUAUCUUCUAUACAGUUUGAUAGCAGUUAUCUUGUUCUGCAUGGACAAGGGUAUGGAGUGGCAUCCGGAUUUAUCAUCAUAGAAUCCUUUUAGUUUCAGGAGAAUCACAGCAGUUUCUUUAUCUUGUUAGACUACCAUUCUGACUUGAAUUUGUUGUCAUUGAAGCAUCUUUAUCCCUAACUUUUCUCCAGCAAAGGUGCCACUUUUGUAGGCAUCAACUGGCAGCAUCGUAGGAGAGUUCUGCCUUAUUACUCCAGUAGCUUUUUCAACCUUAUCUCUCCAUUGAAUUCUCACAAUGCUUGCUGUCAGAUUGUGUUGUGCUAACAAUAAUGACAUCGUUUUUUGCAGAUGGAGAACAGAGUUGAUCAUGAUAACUUCCAAGGCCACGACACAAUAGAUCCUUUGGCGGGGAUGAAUCUCCUCGAGGCUCGUCGGCUUGAUUAAUUGAUGGCCUCUCAAGAGAGCUACCUCUCUUCAGAUUCUGCACUUGUCUACAAAUUGUAACACCACGCCCUUGGACUCCUGACAAAUGCCAUUUGAUCAUCGUAACGGAAGUAGCAGCAGCAAAUUUAUGGCCAUGAUCAAGAUUUGCACGAUGUCACCUUCAAAAAGGGCUUUCUAUCCUUCAAUAGAGUUGUAGAACUAUGUCUUACCCUUCUAAAUAAGCUAAGCCACACUUAAAACCAUAGUAUAUAACUUUACUUACGAAUAAAAUGAUAAACAGUGUUCUCGAAUGAAAACUGAUCUAAAACAUGUAAUGAGGUAGUUAAAAAAAUAAUCGGAAAAUAAAAUUAAAACAUGGUGAUGAAUUCAUAUGAAUGAGAUUUCAAUAGUAUGACAACAUACAUUAUGAUAAAAUUAUUAGAGGGUACUGAUUGUAUCUUUUGAUUCUCAAACAUAAGAGAUGUCUAGAGCAGGGUCGUCAGUAGUUGAAGGGAAUUGGUCAGUUGAGGAAUAGGUAAGUGCAUCGCACGUUGUCUUUUCAAUUUAUGUAAACUUUUGAUAAAUUUUAGAAUUUAUUGUUUUAUUACUUUGAUAAAUAUUAGAAUGAAUAUGAGAAAGUUUUUCAAUUACUAAACAGAUUUUGGAAAAUGGGAGUGUAGUUCAUAGGGUGCAGAAAAUGACCAAUGAAAUGUGUGUAUGAACAGUUGAUGAUGAACAGUAAAACAGCAUUAGUUUUUUAGUAUAUUAGUUAAUCAAUUAAUAAUUAAUAAAUUUAUGCAGUCAUCUGAUGCAGUAGGUUUUAAAAAAAUUAUUUUUCCUUAAUUAUUGUUUUCUAGUUUAUUGAAGGUUUAUUAUCCUUUUCUUUAUUUUCAGGUUUUCUAAUUGUUUAUGUUGGGUUUUUGAGCUUAUUUAAACAAUUAUAAACCUUUUAAGAAUUAGAGUUUCUGCGUGAAUAUUUCUUUUGAAAAUUUUAUGUUCUUCUACUCAUUAUUUUUUAAUGUAGUUUCAGUUUACAUCAGCUUUAGAUAAUUUUAGAGCUCUACAUCAUCAUCAUGCUUUAAAAUUUUCCUACAAAUGGAGGAAGCAAAAAAAUCAAGAAAGAAAUAUAACAUCAAGAAUCCUGCGAAUUCUCCAUAUCUGGUCAUUAUAUUUUACCCAAGCAUGAUAAUAUUAUUAACUUUUAUUAUCCGUAUUUAUCCACAGCAUUAUCAAACAUGAUUAACUCUUCCUUUACCAGAAAUUAGCUGAAGGGAAGUUGUAGGGUUCGAUCCUGUUUAUUUGAAGAAAGCUACACUGCACGUCUUAGUUCCAAGGGAAGCGAUUACUGCAAAAUCACUGGAAAUGUGACCCCAAAGCAAGAAUCUUCUAGUUCUGGACAUAUAUUUACCAGUAAAUCAAGGAUAUUGCAGGUGAAUCCCCUCCUGAGUACACAAACACAUGAUUACUAAGCACAGGAAACGAGUUAAAAGGUGUUGAUGAUGGAAAAAUGAAAUAUUGUCUGAAUUAUGAUAUAAAUAACAGCGAGAGAGUUUUGUAUAUUGAUAGGCAGAAGAUGAUACUGAAAGGCUAAUAAAAAUUGAAAGUUCUGAGCAAUUAAACAGUAAUUUGUCAUAAUAAGACAGACAGGGAUAUACCAUAAAUAGAUAACAUAAACGGUCUAAUAUAUAUUUUUAUGGAUUAGUGAAUAUGAUAAAGCUCAAAAAGAGAGAUAUGGUUGUGCUGGAUAACAUAGUGACAAUAAAAAACUAUAAUUUUGGAUUUGAUUUUUAAAUCAAACUCAAAUUUUUUUAUAACAUUUACAAAACUAAUUUUUAUUGGAUUUCUUUGAAUCAAUUUUGUUAUUUUUACUUGAUUUUUCUGGAUUUUUAUGUUUAGUUUUGGAUUUUCUUUUCCUUUUCUCUUUGUUUAGGGAUUUUAAUUUUAUUACCUUAUGAAGAUUGGUUUAUGAUAUAUUCAAGUAAUUAUAAGCAUUUUAAUUUACGACCCUUUUUGUUUAUAAGAUGAUGAUAAUUUGACAUUAACUAAUGAUGUUAAAAAAUAAAGGAAAAAUAAAAUUAAAUAUAAAAUGUACGUGAUGGUGUCAUUUGAAACAAAGUCUGAGAGAAAAGCUUCCCACAUAGCUUGGCCUUCAUUCUUCUCCACCAUUGAGAUGGGUCCAUAUCAGUCUGUGCUGUCAACUAGUUACUGCCCAUCAGUCAAGGAAGAAGGAUGUAAGCAGAGAGAAGGAUGAUAAUUGCAGAAUUAAAGUCAAGUCUGAUCUGUAUAAAACUAUGAACACCUUCUUUCAAUACUCAACCCCAAAUAUUUUAUCAGUUGGAGAGAGUGGAAUCUGAUAACCAUUUCCUGAACACCAAAUUCAUUGAUCCUUUUUCACCAGGAGCUUGAACAUAUGAACAAAUUCAGUUCAUGGAAUUCGAGGACGAAAUUAUUAUUACAAUUCAAAGCUAAAUGAAAAAUCUGACUAUAUAGAGAGGGGGGGGGGGGACAUAGACCUACAAAUAAAGAAAAUUUGAGUUAACUACUUAAAUACCUUUCAGCACAAUGAUUAAGAUCUCUCUUGGCAACAAAAUAGCAUGUAAGCAAGAUGAAGGAUCAUAUAACUCGAGCUCAUAAUCGAAAGUUGAAGUCAUAUUUGAAAUAAGCAUGUAAUCAAUCGAGAAAAGCUGAGAGGUGGAAAGAAGAAAGCUAAGGAUCGUGGGAGAAAAAGCUGGUUGAGGAUUACCUCUAAGAAAUGAAGAUGUCGAGAAAGAUUACGGUAAAUCUAAGUUACAAGAAAUAGAAGAUCGACCAUGCUAAUACUGAGGAUUAUGGUUCUUUGGCGAACAAUCUCUGCAACAGAGCAAAAGGCAAGAAUGAAGUAUGUUAAAACAGUACUUAACAGGAUCAUUGGAAAUCAAAGAUGCAAGUAUCUAUAAUAUGUUACUUCAUUUUGGAAUUCCCUUGAUGAUUUGUAAAAAUACAGAUGAUUUGUCAUUAUCAUCUUAUGUCAAGUUUAUCAGAAGAAGAAUAUCUGUGGAAUGAAAGCAAGCACUCGAUCCCAUCAGAAGCCCUUAUUGAAAUGACCUUCAGUUCAGCUGCACACUCCAGCGACUGUUAAACUCAGUUUCAGUUAGACUUUAAUUCUUUUUAAAAAUUAAAAUAAUAUUAUUUUAAUAAAAUAAAUCUAAUAAAUUGAGCAUCUAAUUUUGUCUGAGCAAGGCCGGUUGUUCAGGUCAUCAUAUUAUUUUUAUCUUGUACUGGUUUACAUCCUGGAUUAUCCGAUUUCUAGAUCAACACAGGGUUGAUUUAUUUAAUAAUUAUUUACAGCAUUUGCCACUAUAUUGAUUUCAAUUAAUUAUUGGGUGAUUUGUUUGGGUUUCUGGUGUCAACGAUCCUAAUACUAAAAUAUUUCAAAGUUGGAAUCCUAUUUUACAUUAAAUUUCAAAAUCAGCACAUAUGAAUCAUUUCAAAGAAAAAUAUAAUUUUUUUGAAAUAAACCUAAAUUUGUAGGAAACUAAGAACAAGUAAGAGGUCAUACAUUAUUCAACUAAGAAUAUGAUAGAAUAAUGACCCACCAUGAUUAAAAAUGGUUAAACUGAAUUUAUAACUAUUUAUUCUAAUAUUAUAAAUCUGGUCUAAUAGGCCAAUUUAGCCAUCUUUUGAUCUAAAAUUUGGUUGUGCGAAAUUUAAAAUUAAAUAUUAUUUAAUUUUAUUGUUCAUUUUCUUUUUUUGUUUAAUUGUUCAACAUUAUUUUUUUUAAAGAUUGGUUUUGUGAUUAUCAUCAAUUUAUUUUUGAUCUUUUACAUUGAAUAAUUGAUUUUUUAUUCGAAAAAACUACUGCCACGUGCUCUUUACAUGCCAACGCAUGGAGGGCAUCCACAUCAUUUGGAUGGCGCAUGAGGCACCUCAUGGUGGCCAAACUUGCCCUUGCAUCGUGUUGUUGGAAGCGUUGUUACGUUCCCUUCCUCAUGGUGUAACAGGUGAUGGUGGAUAAUCGAUUUGUAAUUUAUUGACGGUGGUCGUCUCUUUUUCCUCUUAUUUUUUCUCUCUUACCCAAAAUAAGGAUCAAUUAGUUUAAUGUGUGUCUAUUUUUAUUAUCGUUUGAUUUUAUAAAUAAAUAUUUUUAAUAAAUAAAUUUAGUAAAUACAACCGAGUAAAUGUUUCAUGUUAUAAGAUCAAAUCCCUUUAUCCAUAUUUAUGUCUCAAUUUUUUUAAUUUUGCUUUUAUUUAUUGUUAAUAAUUUUAUUUAUUUAUUUAUACAUAUGAUUAUCUAAUUAUCAAUUUAUUUAAUUAAAUAUUUAUAUAAACCUUUUGAUUUAUGACUUUUUUUUUUUGAAAAAAAACUAUACAACGUGUAGACGUGAGUCAAAGCAAGUUGCUUUUCACCUUUAAUUUUGCUAUUUUGAAAAAAACUAUACAACCAACCCCAAUUUUGAAGCUCUGAAAAAGGCUCAUCGAAAAAGGAAGCACAAGAAUAUUAAGAGUGAAAAUUCUAAAUACUCACCUAUCAAGCUAACCUACCCUGAGUUUUCAGGAUUGCCUUCUGAACAGGGAUUCUAAAAACGAGGAAAAGGAAGCUAUGAUUUCAAUUAAGUGUUUAAUGUUGAAAACUUAGCAAUAUAAUCUUUAUUUAAUUGUUAGAUUUAAUUAAUUUUGUGUCAAAAAGAUUAAAAUUUUUGGGUUAUUGUAUGUGUUUUUGCACAUGCUUUACUUUUUAUGGACAAAACCUAUCCUCAAUAACAAGUGAUCGCUGGUCAGAGACGUCUGAAUCUCAGAAUUUGGAGGAAGUGAUAGCCUAAUAGCCAUGAUCAAUAAGCACAAGUUUUGAGCAGCAAAUAUUAGCUUCUCUUUGGGAAUUAAUAGCGUUACAUAAACAAAAGCAAAGUAGCAUUUAAUUACAAUAUCAGAAUAGAAAAAACAUAAAAACAAAAAACAAAAAACAAAAACAUAAAAUAAAUAUAUAUUUUACUAUAGGUUUUUAAUAAAUUUCUAUAUUUUUAAAAUAAAAAAUACAAGGAAAUAUAUCCCAUUUAUCUUCCUUAUCUCUUUCUACUGCAAAACAAUAACCAAACAUUAGCCAAGAAAUUCCCUUUUUUCUUCCAUGAUGAAGAGAUAAGAAAUAGGCUUUAUUCAAAUUAAAGAUCGAUGGUCAUUGGCUCUCGUGAUGUAGGAACUGCAAGAAAUUGUAAUUAAGAUGUUAAAGACCAGAAUUGAUAUAGAGCUGCAAGAAAUUUAAAACAAUAAGAAGACGAGAUCAUAUCCUGUGUCAAAGUCUUCGACACAUUCCACUAAAAAAUAUAUAGUCCUUAAAACAAAACACUGCCAUUCCUUUAGUUAAGAAAAUAUACCGUUCCUAAGCACUCUUGUCAAUGAAACUAAUUUUUAAUUAAUUUGGAAAAUACCACACAUAAUAAAAAAAUAAAAGGCAGAAGACACAUCUUAAUUGGAUUAUCUUUCUUCUGUCGAGCAUAUACAUACUCCACAGUCGAAUAAAAGCAUUGCCAGACAGCACCAACCAAUCCAAAAUACUCAGUAAUAGUGCCAACAGGCUCUCAAGGUGCGGAAGUACUGGUCGAUGGGCGAUGGAAACAGGGCAACAGGUCCAUUAUUUCCUUUCGUGCCAUGUAAAUGAGUUCAGCAGUAGCAAGAAGCAAAGCUACAAAUGCCAACACCAUGCCAAUUGGUGCAUAACCCAGCUGGUCAAAAACUGCAGAUGCAAACUCUAGAAUUAAGUUUGUCAUCAGCAAAGUCCAUCCUGAUAUUAUUUUUAUCCAAUUUCUUCUUUGGACCUGUACAUACAAAUAAAUAUUAAAUGAAAAAUGAACUUUGAAGUAAUCUUCAGAAAAGAGACUCCCUAGCAAUCUAAAAUAAAAAUUGUCCACUUGUCGUGUUUUUAUAUGUUUUUAUAUAAAAAUUUCGUAUUGACAUCAAUUGCAAUAGUGACCUCGUUAUUUCUUGAGCCUGCUACAGUUUUACGUUUUCUUCCUGGACGGCCAUCAAUUGCUGGAAGGGCUGCGUCUUGGACAUCUUGAGGCACUUGUCCACAAAUUUUAACACCACGGCCUGUCACUCCUGCUAAAUGCAAUUUGAUCCUCGAAAUGGAAGUACCGUUGCCAAAUAAAUGCCUACAAAACUUACACCUCAUGCGACCAUCAUCCAUCUUUUCAACAUAUUCCCCAAAAGAUCUGUCAACAUGAUGCGAAACUGGAUCAUUCUGUCGAAGCAUUUUGAUCAGUGGCUCUGUAGAAAAGAAAAAAAAGAUUUGUCAACAUGAUGCCAAAAUGGAUCGAUCGGGGUCAAAAUAUUGAAUGAAAAUUAAUGGAAGUUACAGUAAUUGUAAAAGGGAAGGUUGAAACUGAAAUAAAAAAUUAAAAACAGUAAAGAAAUGAAAAAGAAAAAACAAUGAAUUCAAGGAUUAUAGAAACUGAGAAAGACAAAUUUUGUUUAGUUUUGGAACUAUAGAAAAUGAUCCUAACUCCAAAGCUUCUCAAUAAAAUUUCUACAACUUGUUUUUCACUUAAAAGAUCCAAACAAUAAUAACAUGUGAAGAACAAAAAAUUAAAUAAUAUACCUGGAUUCAUGAUGUUCUUCAAGUGCUGGCUUGCUGGGGCAGUAUUCAGAAGAAGAUGAACAAGAAGCACAGAUCAGAGAAGAAUAUAGGUUAAGCUAGUUCAUUCUGAUGAGACGUGGAAAGGAAAAUAAUUGUAUUGUUUGACAAGAAAGAAGUUGCUAGGAAGGAAGGAACAACUUUACGGAUAGUUCAUAGUUCCUUUUAAUUUUAUUUUAUAUAAUUAAAAACUUCAACAAAAGAAGGAGAAGCCAAUUAUUGAACUUCAGUGAGUUAACGUGUGGACCCACCCAGUGUUCAAUCUUUAAAACAUUGUUAAUCAAGUUGACCGAGUCGAUUGAAUCAUAUUACCAGAAAGGUUUAGGAAAUCAGGAAAUCAAAUUAAGUUAUACUGAGAGAGAUCAAGUGGAAGAGAAUGUUAAGAGUAGCUCUAGCUAUUAGAGUCAUUGCGAUUCGCGAGCAACUUUACCAAUGUAAAAUCGUGUUUUUCCUUUGGAGAAGUCAAAGGAAGCUACAACUUUAGCAAAGGGAAGCUGCAGGCUGUGUUCCAACUUGUUUUUUAUAGUCUGUCACUAACAGCUGACCUGGCCCAGACUAGGAAGGUGCUCUUGUAUUGCAUUGCUAGUUUUUUGUUAUUACUAUAAAUAUAUAUAAUAAAAUAUUUUUAAUUUUUAUAAAGAAUAAUUAUCGUCACGUUUUUUGUUAUUUAAAUCCUUAAUAAUUUAGUUCUUUCAUCAAUUCUAUAUGUUUUCUUUAUUUAUUUUUUGAGAAAUUAGAAAAAGAAAAAAAAUAGAAGGAAGUGAGAUUUUGAGAAAAAAUAAUAAUAUUAAAUUGAAGAUGGUCACCAUUGGUCAUUGGCCAAUCAUUGCUUUUAUAAUCUCUUAAAUGAUAAGGACUAAUUAGUUAUUGAUUAUACUAUAAGGAUUAAUUAUGUAAUGUGUACAAACUAUAAGGACUAUAAUUGCUUUAAACCUCAAGCUUUGGGUGCUUUGUUUAUGUUGUCUCAAAUUCGUUACUGCGAUCAAUACUUGUCAGCAUGAUGCCAAAAUGGUCAAAAUAUUGAAUGAAAAUUAAUGGAAGUUGCAUUAAUUGUAAAAGGGAAGGUUGAAACUGAAAUAAAAAAAAAUUAAAAACAGUAAAGAAAUGAAAAAGAAAAAACAAUGAAUUUCAGGAUUAUAGAAACUGAGAAAGACAAAUUUAAUUAGUUUUGGGAACUAUAGAAUUAGCUCCUGCACCAGGCUGCACUACUCCUCCAGUCCCAUUCUCUGUAUCAUCCUCCAUUAACAUUGCUUGAACUUGAACUUGCUAUGCCUUUAUGUCUUUUGUUGCGACCUAUAUAAAAAAUCAAAAAUAAAAACUGACUGCGUGACCUUCUGCGGUUGUGGUUUCUGACAGCGAGACCACCGGAAUACAUCAAUAAUAACAUUAUCACAGUCGUGCUUCUCACCGUUUGAGGAAUGUGGGUGGUGACUCUGGAACUUAUCUGUCUCUUCAUGCACCUGAGUGAGAAGCCUGUGUCACUUUCCCAUUUUCUCUCCUGUAAAACAGAGCUCGUAUCUUCACAUAAGAAAUCAAAAAUUCAGAAUCAGAACAUCACUAAGAAUUCACCAGAUGAACUUCAUGAUUUCAAUACCUCAGACUUGAACAAAAAAAAAGCCCGUUUACUAAAUAUUUUACAUAUAUAAAAAAAUAUAAUUUUGUUUUCUAUGCAUGAGCAAACAAGAAAACAAAUAAUGCCUGAAAUUACAGAAGUCAUCAUCAAGAAAUUCUGUGGCAACUUAUAGCAGGUUAUAGAAAUAAAUGAAAAUCAUACAAUACAGAAGCUAAAGCAAUUUUACUAUUAAGACAAAAAAGCAAGUUAUAGAAAGAAAUGAAAACCAUACAAUACUGAAGCUAAAGCAAUUUUACUAUAAGACAAUAAAAUGUGCCUCCAAAACCUACGUGCAGUAUCAAGUUAGAAAGCACAAAAGAGAAAAAAAAGAGGGAUACCUGCAUGAAUGUGUUUCUAAAUACAGAACUUCCCCCUUCUUCAAACGUUCUGAAGUAUAGAGAGGCUUUUUCAGACCCUUGUCAGCAACAAUACUAAUGCUGUAUUUUAUCCUGAUAUAUGCAGGCAUCAAAAUUGAAACAUUAAUCAUUUUACUAACAUAUAAGUCAAGAAAUAUGAGAGUUAAUGGACAACAGCAGCGACAAGAAAAUUGGAAAAGUGCAAACACCUUGCAAGGCAAUGAAAAUUAUGUUGGGUUGGUUGCCAUUAAUGUGCAACAACCAUUGACAAUUGCAGCAGCUGCAGCUGGAGUUGCACCAACCAUGUGCACCCAUCCAAGAUGUCAAAGGUUGGCAGCCACCAUUGUUGAAGAAGAGCUGGAGUUGGCAGCCACCUUUGUUGAAGAAGUGUUGGAGCUGGUGGCACUAUUCUUGCCUAUAAAUAGGCAGCAAGAGAGUAGAGCAAACUGAGAAGAGAGUGUGUGAGAAUGUGAAGAGAAUAGAGUGAAAGUAGAGAGCUGCAAUGGCAGCAGCCUUGCUGCCAUUGCAGCAGCUGCAAGUGCAGCAAUGAGAGCUGGGAGUAGAGUUUGAGUGAAGUGAUCCUCCUCCUCCAUGUAUAUCCUUUCUCUAAUCUCUAAUAAAAUGGACUCUCUCCCGUGGAUGUAGGCGGUUUUGCCGAACCACGUAAAAUAUUGUAGCAGUGUGCUUCUAGCCUCCUAUGAGCAACUAUCAGUACACCCCCGGUCCGCGCAUGGGGGAGCCGGAAUCCCCAACAAUUGGUAUCAGAGCUGAUGGUUUAAAGGGGUGUUUGAUUUUGCUCAAAAAUGAAAGUUGUCAAACUUGUGUUUUGACCAUACCACUGUGUAGAGGAGGAAGAGACGGAGCCACUGGUGAAAACGGCGUCAAAAUCGGACGUCGGACAUGGCCGCACUCUCCAUCACUCUCCGGCAAGGCGUCUACCCACGCGCGCAGACGCGCCCACGCGUCUUCUUCGCCCGGAUGAGUUGACCCGACCCGAAUACCAGUUGACCCGACCCAUGUGACUGACCCGGAUAUGAAUGACAUCAGCAUGACAUAAAAGUGACGUCAGCAUGAAUAGUAGACAUGCCAGGGAUGACAUUAGCAUGAUGUAAUUGUGACAUCAUCAUGUACAGUAGCAUGGCCAUGAUGACAUCAGCAUGAUGUAAUGGAGAUGUCAGCAUGCACAGUCAGCAUGGCAUGUCAGCGUCCAGUCAGCAGACACGUCAUCACAGUGGGACCCACCGGCCACGUCACUAGCCGCGAGCCAAGCGGGGCCGAGCCGAGUUGAGCCGAGCCGUUUUGUAGCCGAGCCGAGGGUUAGGAUUCUGUGAAGCGGAGUCUACGUGCAACCGGAUCUGAGAUUGAAUCUGAGCCGUUGAUCAGGCCAGAAUUGUUUUGAUCAAAUCUUAUCCGUCUGAAAUGCGAUUUGGACGAUUUCAGACUUGUUUCCAGCUAAUUUGAUCGUUCCGGAUGCAAUGAUACGGUCCGAUCUUUGAGAUUUGAGACAAAUAAUGGCGGUGGUGAAUUAACAAAAGAGAUUGCCCGAUCAGGAGGCAUCUAAAGGUCAUCAUGGUGGUCAAUGGAGAUGAAGAAGAAGAAGGUGCACAUGUUUACCCAAUUAUAUGUGCAACUACUAAAUGGGGAGAAAUUUUAAUUGCCUUGAAGGGAAGGCAAAAUUGGGACACUCUGGACACUCGAUCAAGUGGAUAAUUUGAGGUGAAGAGUGAAAACUGAUGAAGACCAAUCUUGACGAAUCUAAGCACUGGUAGUCUCGCCAGAUGUUGAGAAAUCAUGUAUUAAACCAGUAUAUUCCAGAUCACUUGUAAAGGAAAGCCGGGACAAAGCUAGCAAAUGGUUGUAUAUACGGAAAGACAGUACGAUGGAUAGAUAUGGCCUAAGAAGUUCUGUCUAGGAGAUUGGGUUUUAAGCGGGACCAGUGUGACCCCUCCAAUCUUUCCUGGGAACUUGCUUAGUGGAAGGAUUAUCCAUACGGUACUAUUUUCGUAUAUAUAGCAGUUUGUAAUGAAACAGUUGAAGGCUAGCAGGAUGACGGCACAAGGGAACAGUUGGGUUCCGUAUGAUCAAGGAUCUGAUGAAGUGGUGAUUUCUUCAAAGAAGUUAGAUUCGGUGACUGUGAUUUCUCGAAGGGAGAAUUGAUGAAGACCCUGAUAAUGGAAGAGAAAUACAGCAAGGGGAUAAAGAUUGGCACCCUAUUUUUGACUUGGACAGGUGUUGUGACAGGAUGAGCUGCUGUCAAACAUAAGCAAGGAAUAGGGAGAAAUCUAGAGAGCAAAAAUUGCACGAGGGCACACGGAGAUUGUGCAGAGGUACCUGUAAGAUCCAACGAGGUACUGUAAUGAGACAACAGGUGCAAGGAGAAGAAGUGUUCCCAGAUGAAGCUCAGAGCAGAGACUGUUAAAGUUUGUACAACAGGAAGUCUCUUGUGCUCUUAAUGAAGACAAUAGGCGAAGACCUUUCCAAUGCAUGCAAGGAUGGAAAGAGAGCUGUUGCAGAGGCACCUAAUUGAGGGGGUGCAAAUGCCUGUGAUACAAGGCAACCGCCUAUGAUGAAAGGCGAAGACACCAAAGAGAGUUGGUGUAGGUGGAGCUGUCACGCAGAAAGGCACAGAAGCUCCAAACAUAGAAAUCGAGGUGGAGGAUUGCGAGGAGUAUACCACAACUUUCUCUUUCUAUGUAGUCAGUGGCAGUAAUCUCUCCCAUAGUGCACAUGGUGGUAGAGACUUUUGGAGCCACUUUGAAGCAUCUCAGCUGAAGGAGGAUGCGGCCACCUAUGAAAGGUGAAGACACCUUAGAUGGAAGGUGUGUGAGGGCCAUGAUAGGAGCCCGGAUCAGACCGCCCCAUGACAACGGGCGAAGACACCUUAGAGAAGGUGUGAGGGCCGUGGUAGAAGCCCCAGUUCAGACCGCCGCAUGGCGACGAGCGGAGACACCUAAGGAGAAGAUGUGUGGGCCACGAUAUGAGCCCAGUUCAGAACAACCCCAAAGCCAAUGUGAUGGCUAGAUAUGAGUGGACAUGUGUAUAGCCAAUGAAGUGGCUAUGAUGAGUAUGGAGACAGAUGCAGGAUUGACUUUCAUGGAUAUUGCCCCCAUGCUAAAGAUCAAUGAGCUAGAAGACAUUUGCCUUGGAUAAUAAGUGUGUGACUUGUGGAGCAUUAAGACGCGGCUGCUAUGAAGGAGCAGAGGGCAUGCGCAGGUUCCCGAAACAAGUUGACUCUUGUCAAGGUGGUGAGCUCAGUGAAGGCAUUGUAAUACUCAGUAUCAAGACAUAUAUGGAUCAACCUUUAAUGGGUUGCCCCCAUAGGUGAAGGUGGAGAGCUACCUGGACUCUUGAGACUAAGAGCGAGAGACUCACGGAGAAGUAAGGCGUGGUUCCUAGGGUGGAACAGAGGGCAGGCGCAACUCCUGUAUGAGUAGACUCUUGGAAGAGUGGUGAGCUCGUGAUCAUAUUGAGAUACUCAGAUAAUGACUGUCGCACUUGGAAAUAGAAAUUUUCGUUUGAGGGGGUGUUGUAAGCCUUGAUGUGAGGCUUGAUGAUUCAUUCCGGACCGAGCAUGGUUGAUACGCUCGAAGGGGAAUGUUGUGUCCCAGAGACAAGCGUUAACACUCUUCAGAUGAGAUGUGGCAGACCAUCUGGUUGUAGUGAUCCUUUUGUGUGAGAAAAGGUGUGCUUUGGUGACUCUGGUGAUUGAAAGGUUUGGCGAGUACCUAUAAACUUGGUCACAGACGCUCUCGGAAUGGUAAGCUUGGAAGAGCUGCAGGAUGCAAGCCUGUGCUGAAGAAGCAAGAGGACAGUUGCCCCACAUGAAUGGCAAAGGGGGUGAUUGUUGGGUUGGUUGCCAUUAAUGUGCAACAACCAUUGACAAUUGCAGCAGCUGCAGCUGGAGUUGCACCAACCAUGUGCACCCAUCCAAGAUGUCAAAGGUUGGCAGCCACCAUUGUUGAAGAAGAGCUGGAGUUGGCAGCCACCUUUGUUGAAGAAGUGUUGGAGCUGGUGGCACCAUUCUUGCCUAUAAAUAGGCAGCAAGAGAGUAGAGCAAACUGAGAAGAGAGUGUGUGAGAAUGUGAAGAGAAUAGAGUGAAAGUAGAGAGCUGCAAUGGCAGCAGCCUUGCUGCCAUUGCAGCAGCUGCAAGUGCAGCAAUGAGAGCUGGGAGUAGAGUUUGAGUGAAGUGAUCCUCCUCCUCCAUGUAUAUCCUUUCUCUAAUCUCUAAUAAAAUGGACUCUCUCCCGUGGAUGUAGGCGGUUUUGCCGAACCACGUAAAAUAUUGUAGCAGUGUGCUUCUAGCCUUCUAUGAGCAACUAUCAGUACACCCCCGGUCCGCGCAUGGGGGAGCCGGAAUCCCCAACAAAUUAGUGCCCUCAUAGAUAAACAAAAAAGAUAAACACUUAAUGAACUAUGUCAUGGGAACAUUCUAAACUCCAGUAAACUGUGUCAUGGAAACAUUCCAAACUUCAGAUAAGCAUGUCUAUUGGUUGGAAACUGUGGAGAGUUUAUCGAAUGAACUGUUAGAACAACUAUAAUAGAUCUGGGGUCGUGUAGUAAACUAAUGUUACUACAGAAGUAGAAAUAGAGGAUAUCUGUUAAGUGUUGCUAAGCAAAAAAACAUAAAAAGCCUUUACAAACUUGGUAGCUAUUAGUUUUGAUAGACCAGAAAAAUCCCAUAUAGAAAAUAAGAAUAAUUCCCUAAAAGUCUAUCAACUUCGAACCAAUAAGAUGAAACGAUUACUGAAAGCACAGCAAAGAUAACUGAAUUUGUUAGGUGGAAAUGUAAUAAAAUCUUUAUGAGAUCUAAGUUGAGAUCUGAAAAAUUGCAGCAAUCAUAGUUAUCAAAAAGAUCUAGAAUCUACCAGGGCUCGUUGCAAAGGUUGCACUGUAUUGUAACUACGCGUACAAAUCUCUGUUGCCACAAAGCAUUCUGAAAGAGAGAAGUCUCUGUUGCCACAAAGCAUUCUGAAAGAGAGAAGUCAUCAUAACGUAAGUAGAUCCAAAUAACAGAAAAAAGUGCUUAGACAGACAUAGUUUAGCCCUUUUUAUUAGUAGCCAAAAACAUACAAUUAUCAAUGAAAUAAGUGAAAUAAGUGAAAUCAUAAAUCAUAAAAGACAAAGGACAAGAAGCAUGUCUGUGAUGCAUAUAGCAGUUGUUGUUGGUGGGAGAAACCACUGGUGGUGGCUUUGAAACACUCGGAGGGGAUAAAACACACUGUUUUAUUUCAAGAACAAAAGCUUACAAACACAAAAAGCUUAACAAUACACGCCCUCUCUCUUUCUCUCUAGUGUUUCUCUCUAUUCUCUCCACACAGAAUAGCAUAAGCUCAGCUUGCUAUUUAUACACGAAUUCAAAACAAGAAAAUUCAACCUUCAAGUGUGAAGGCGGCUGGCGGUUGUGGCGGCAAACAGCUGGUGGCUGGCGGCUGGCGGCUGGUGGCUGCCUUCCUUGACCUUCUAGAUGGAUUGAGUUUAAUACAACAAAUCUCCCCUUUAAACUCAAUCGAGGGAUGUCAUGUCAAGCAUGAACUUCAUUCUGAUAAAUGUUUCCCUCUUCAAUGGCUUUGUAUUUUUGCACUUCUUCUUUUGCAUUCUUCUUUGUCUUAUAGACCCAUUUGACACCUAUUGCUUUCUUGCUUUCUGGUGGAUAAGUCAGCUUCCAGGUAUCAUUCUUCUCAAUGGCAUGCAUUUCUUUAUCCAUUGCUUCUAUCUUCUCUUCUGUGAUAGCUUUGUUGAAGCUAAGUGGGUCAUUAUCUGCAAAGAAACAAAAUAGAGUUGUAUCUUCGAUGACUUGUGUGGCAUCGUACAACUCGUCAAGAUUUCUCAUCCUUCUUGGUCCUUCUGACGAGGAUGUUGCUGCUGGUGUUGAUGAUGAUGCUCCUGGUGUGUUCCUCCUGUUGAAUACAGGGAAUCUGUGUACCGGACUUUGUGGUUCAGCUGCUGGUAUAAUCACCGGACUUUGUGGUUCAGCUGCUGGCACAAUCGGUUCUUCGACAAGUACUGUUGGUACUUCUUCACCUUCAAGGAUCAAAUCAAUGUUGAUCCAUCUGACUGCUUCUUUAUUAUCAGUCCAUUCCCAAGAUUUAUCUUCUUCAAAGAUAACAUCUCUACUCAUAAUCACCUUCUUCGUGAUGGGAUUAUACAGCUUGUAUCCCAUCCUUCUUUCACCAUAUCCCACAAAGAUGUAUCUCUCGCUUUUAUCAUCGAGUUUUCUCCUUCUUGCAUCUGGGAUCUUUGCAUAUGCCACACAACCAAAUACUCGUAGAUGAGUAACACUUGGUUUGUGACCACUCCAUGCUUCUUCUGGAAUGACUCCUUGCAAACUUCUGGUUGGGCAGCGAUUCAGUAGAUACACUGCACAUGAUACAGCUUCAGCCCAGUAUUGCUUGGGCAACUUCUUUGCUUUGAGCAGACUUCUUGCCAUGUCAAGAAUCGUGCGAUUCUUCCUUUCAGCUACACCAUUCAGCUGUGGUGUAUAAGCUGGUGUUGUCUGAUGUCUGAUGCCUUGUUGUGUACAAUAGGCUUCAAAGUCAUUUGCUGUAUAUUCUCCACCUUGAUCAGAUCUCACUGUUCUGAUCAUGUAGCCACUUUGCUUCUCCAUAAUUGCUUUAAAAUCUUUAAAACAAUUGAAUACUUCUGACUUCCUCUUCAGAAAGUAUAUCCACGUCUUUCUACUAAAAUCAUCAAUAAAAGAGAGAAAGUACCUAUUUUGUCCAGUCGACAUAGGCGUUAUUGGGCCACACACAUCUGUGUGUACUAACUCCAGUGGCCUCUUUGCUUUCCAGUUGACUUCUUUGGCAAAACUGGAUCUGUGAUGUUUGCUGAGGACACAAUUUUCACAGACUUCAUCUGGAUGAUCAAUGUGAGGCAAACCUUUGACCAUCUUCUUGCUUGCUAGCAUCUUCAAACUCGUGAAAUUCAGAUGUCCAAGCCUCAGGUGCCAAAGCCAUUCUUCACUGAUGGUGAUGGCACUCAAACACCUUGUUGCAUCAUACUGGAUGUUCAAAGGAAACAUCCUAUUCUUGGACAUUUUCACAUAGGCCAUUAAUCUCCAAUUGUUGUCUCUAAUUGUCAGAUGACAAUUCUUCGAGUAAAAAGUAUAUCCUCUCUCCAAAAGUUGACCUAAGCUGAUCAGGUUCUGCUUUAUGGCUGGGACAUAAUAGACAUUGGCGAUGUAGCUGGAAUCGUCGUUCUUCAACUUGAUUGGGAUGCUGCCUUUACCUUUGAAUGGAAUCUUUGUGGUAUCUCCAAAAGUAACUAGACCUUGCUUGGUCUCAUCUAGAUCACUAAAUAACUCUCGGUAGCCGCACAUGUGAUUGCUGGCUCCAGUAUCUAGAUACCAUAUAUUUUCCUGUUUCUCGCCAAGUUCUUGUUGGACAAGAAAUGCAGCUUCUCUGUCAUCCUUCUCUGCAUAGUUGGCUUGCUCACGUAUCUCCAACGGAGCUUUCCUUCUGCAUUCAGUGCUAUAGUGCCCAAAUUGAUUGCAACUAUAACAUUGGAUAUUCCUCUUGUCACGGUUAUUGUAAUCGCCUCCUCUUCCUCUAGGAGUGAAUGCUUGUUGUCCUCGACCUCCUCUGGUGGUGUUUCUACCACCUCUUCCUCUAAAGCUUGUAUUCCAAGAACCUCUUCCUUGGAAUUGCUGAAAUCCUCCUCUGGAUUGUUGACUUCUUGCUUGAGUGGUAUAUCCACUUGUUGAAGUCUCCCCUUGCUCAUAUCUGUCUUUGAGAGACAGCUUUGCUUGUAAGGCAUGCUCGAUGGCCUUAUCUCCAUUUCGCUUUACAAUCUUCUGCUCAUGAGCUUGCAAAGAACUCAUAAGUUCAUCCACUGUCAACUUGUCCACUUCUUUGGACUCUUCAAUAGCGACAACAACAAAAUCAAAUUUUGGAUCUAGGGAUCUCAAAAUUUUCUCAGUAAUUCGAGAAUCUAUGAUGGCUUCUCCAUUUCUCCUCAUCUGAUUGACUAUCACCAUAAUCCUUGUGUGAUAAUCAGAAAUAGAUUCUGAGGACUUCAUUUGCAAUAACUCAAAUUCACCUCGCAAAGAUUGAAGACGAAUCUUCUUGAUUCUGUCAGCACCUUUGUAUUUUUGUUGGAGAGCCUCCCAUAUAUCAUGUGAUGUUUCAGCGGAAGCUAUGAUCUCGAAUGUAUCUUCAUCAAGACCUUGGUAGAUGAUGGUCUUUGCUUUGUUGUCCUUCUUUCUGUUGACUUUCAAGGCUUGCUUCUGUGCCUCUUGUAAAGCAUCUUCUUCUUCUUUGGACUCUGGUUCAUCAUAACCAUAUUGUACAAUCUCCAAACACUCUUGUGAACCAAGGAAUGCCUUCAAUCUGAUGCACCAACUAUCAUAGUUGUCUUUGGUCAGCUUCGGGAUGAGUGUUUGUGUACUUUCUGUAGUCAUUUUGCUCUUGGAAUGACUAUAUCUCCUUCUGGGAGUUGCAUUUGGCACAACGGACACUGUAGAUCGAUCCGGAAUGGUUGAAAUAGUCGGGAACCGGUCUGACUUUGUAGAACUCAGGUCAGAAAAUGGGUGAACCGGUCAAAAACCAAUUCUGGGGUUGAACCGGGAAUAUUCUGUGGAAUAUUCUAUCGGCUCGGCUUCGGCUAAUAGCGGCUCGGCUUAGCGGCUAGGCUUGAAAAGGGAAUAUUCUCUGGAAUAUUCUGCGGCUCGGCUGGACGCUUGGAUUGCGGCUCGGCUCGGCGCGGCUUAACGGCUCAAAUAUGGCGCGCGUGGACGUCACUCGUCUUCUUCCUCUGGCGCGCGUGGCUCACCCCGGUGUCCGAUUGAGCUGAUUUUUGCGGCAGUGAGUUCGUAUGGAUGAGCUCUACACGGUGGAAUGAUCAAAACUUGUUUAUGACAACUUUGAAAAUUCGGAUAUCUCCCAAAAACACUUCUGUUUUCUGACUAACGGGGCUCUGAUACCAAUUGUUGGUGGGAGAAACCACUGGUGGUGGCUUUGAAACACUCGGAGGGGAUAAAACACACUGUUUUAUUUCAAGAACAAAAGCUUACAAACACAAAAAGCUUAACAAUACACGCCCUCUCUCUUUCUCUCUAGUGUUUCUCUCUAUUCUCUCCACACAGAAUAGCAUAAGCUCAGCUUGCUAUUUAUACACAAAUUCAAAACAAGAAAAUUCAACCUUCAAGUGUGAAGGCGGCUGGCGGCUGUGGCGGCAAACAGCUAGUGGCUGGCGGCUGGCGGCUGGGCGGUUGGUGGCUGGGCGGUGACAGCUGGUGGCUGCCUUCCUUGACCUUCUAGAUGGAUUGAGUUUAAUACAACAGUUGUAACUUGGCACUUGUGGGAACAGGUAGCACGAAACAUACAUUUAAUUUGUGAGAACCAAACACAGUGAGUUUAAAUAAGCAAUGCAAAUAAUGGUGACCACCACCCAAAAUAUGAGGAGAUAAUGUGAUUAUGAUUGGCCAUACUCAGAAUAAUGUGAUUAUGAUUGGCCAUACUUAGAAAUCUAAUGGGUCAUGUUUGUGCUUCCAUUCCAUAUUUACUUAGGAAUUUUGAAGUAUUAUGAUUUCUUAGCAGCAAAUCUGGUAUAUAGACCUGGAUGAGAAAUAACAAUCCAAGGGAUGAGACUUUUACAGAAGUACUACUACUGUGCACUUGAUUGUCUGAAAGAGAGAUCAUCCUCUACAGGCAAGCAGGUCAAUACUUGGCGCUGUGAGGAUCAUCUUUGCAAUCCAGUUCGUUGUCGAGUUGAGUUAUUUUACUUAUUCAGCGUAGUUACAAAACUUUCAAUUCCUUAUUAAGGUGCAUGGUUCGUAUUAAGGAUGAUGCAGAAGUCAGCAUCCUCGCAAUUCAGGUUCACUCACUGUAUAACAGUUAAUUUCUGAGUUCCAGUAGUUUGAUUCAUCCAUUCCAGUUCAUACAAAACCUUUAUUUCAUCAUAAAGGUGGCUCAUAUUAAUUUGUAUAUAAUAAUAUCUGAAAGUGGGAAUCUGAAAAAUAAUUGAACAAAACAUCCCUUUCAAUUUUAAAAAUAGACUAUCCUUUUCUAAAUCUUCAGUUGUUUUGAUAUGAAUAAUUAGUUAAACCUACUAGUCCUGAUAAUUAGCUAAAUUAUGUUGGCCCCUGUUGAUUUAGACCCAUCCUUCAAACAAGAUGUAUUACACAUCAAGCAAGAAAAAUCAAAUAAGAUUUAUGCAGGGAAAUCUUAUCGGACCUCCUGUUACAAUAAUUAACAGUAAGAAGAUUUACUUUUCUCAUCUUACUUACAAUUUCCUUUGUGCUAAAUACAUUUGAAAGCAAGUUGUGUUAAUGCUAGAUGAAUGGAAAUCCCAGAACUCUACCUCAGAUGACCAUUCUACUAAUUGAGUAGAACAUUUGCUCAAUCAAAAACUGAAAACAGGAUAUAGUUACAACACACUGAGAAGUGAAGAGUAAGAGCAUAAACUCAAAGGGUAAUGGAAGAAAAUGGCUAUGUCAUACCGAAGCUGCAGCACAGGUUAUCAUUUUGUCUCUUCAACAGCCACGGGAGCAAGAGCAGGUUCCACUGCUGAUGUAUGUGUAAGACAGGGCUCAAGAUCAAUGGUUCCAGCUCCUUUCUGAAAUAAAAAAGAAAUCAGAAAUGACCAUGAUUGAAGGCAUUUCUUGACUAGGAUUUUGUAGGAAAAAGCAACAAAAAGAAAAGGCAGCAAUAAAUAUUAGUGAAAAAGGUAGUAGCAAUGUCGCUGUGACACCCUCGGACAUUUCUGAAGGUUCUCAAUAAAUUUCAGAAAAAUAGAGACUAAAAAUACAAUUGAGAAAUUUUUCCCACCACCUUCAUGAUGCAGCAACGCUCAGCACGGUAACCACAACCAAUUCAGAUCCCAAGGCACGUGAACGAACAUUAUUUCUCAGCAUAGAGGUGUAGCCUAAGGCACAUGUCAAAGUUGUUGGUGGGAGAAACCACUGGUGGUGGCUUUGAAACACUCGGAGGGGAUAAAACACAAAGUUGUAUUUCAAGAACAGAAGCUUACAGAAGCAAAAAUAAACACAAAAGCUUAAUACACGCCCUCUCUCUUUCUCUCUAGUGUUUCUCUCUACUCUCUCCACACAUAAUAGCAUAAGCUCAGCUUGCUAUUUAUACACGAAUUCAAAACAAGAUAAUUCAACCUUCAAGUAUGAAGGCGGCUGGCGGCCAAUGGUGUGAAGGCGGCUGGCGGCUGGUCGGUCACAGCUGGUGGCUGGCUGGCCGGUGGUUGCCUUCCUUGACCUUCUAGAUUGAUUGAGUUUAAUACAACAAAUCUCCCCUUUGAACUCAAUCGAGGGAUGUCAUGCCAAGCAUGAACUUCAUUCUAAUAAAUGUUUCCCUCUUCAAUGGCUUUGUAUUUUUGCACUUUUUCUUUUGCAUUCUUCUUUGUCUUAUAGACCCAUUUGACACCUAUUGCUUUCUUGCUUUCUGGUGGAUAAGUCAGCUUCCAGGUAUCAUUCUUCUCAAUGGCAUGCAUUUCUUCAUCCAUUGCUUCUAUCUUCUCUUCUGUGAUAGCUUUGUUGAAGCUAAGUGGGUCAUUAUCUGCAAAGAAACAAAACAAAUCUGUAUCUUCCAUUACUUGAGUGGCAUCGUACAGCUCUUCAAGAUUUCUCAUCCUUCUUGGUUCUUCUGACGAGGAUGUUGCUGCUGGUGUUGAUGAUGAUGCUCCUGGUGUGUUCCUCCUGUUGAAUACAGGGAAUCUGUGUACCGGACUUUGUGGUUCAGCUGUUGGUAUAAUCACCGGACUUUGUGGUUCAGCUGCUGGUACAAUUGGUUCUUCGACAAGUACUGUUGGUACUUCUUCACCUUCAAGGAUCAAAUCAAUGUUGAUCCAUCUGACUGCUUCUUUAUUAUCAGUCCAUUCCCAAGAUUUAUCUUCUUCAAAGAUAACAUCUCUACUCAUAAUCACCUUCUUCGUGAUGGGAUUAUACAGCUUGUAUCCCAUCCUUCUUUCACCAUAUCCCACAAAGAUGCAUCUCUCGCUUUUAUCAUCGAGUUUUCUCCUUCUUGCAUCUGGGAUCUUUGCAUAUGCCACACAACCAAAGACUCGUAGAUGAGUAACACUUGGUUUGUGACCACUCCAUGCUUCUUCUGGAGUGACUCCUUGCAAACUUCUGGUUGGGCAGCGAUUCAGUAGAUACACUGCACAUGAUACAGCUUCAGCCCAGUAUUGCUUGGGCAACUUCUUUGCUUUGAGCAGACUUCUUGCCAUGUCAAGAAUCGUGCGAUUCUUCCUUUCAGCUACACCAUUCAGCUGUGGUGUAUAAGCUGGUGUUGUCUGAUGUCUGAUGUCUUGUUGUGUACAAUAGGCUUCAAAGUCAUUUGCUGUAUAUUCUCCACCUUGAUCAGAUCUCACUGUUCUGAUCAUGUAGCCACUUUGCUUCUCCACAAUUGCUUUAAAAUCUUUAAAACAAUUGAAUACUUCUGACUUCCUCUUCAGAAAGUAUAUCCACGUCUUUCUACUAAAAUCAUCAAUAAAAGUGAGGAAGUACCUAUUAUGUCCAGUCGACAUAGGCGUAAUUGGGCCACACACAUCUGUGUGUACUAACUCCAGUGGCCUCUUUGCUUUCCAGUUGACUUCUUUGGCAAAACUGGAUCUGUGAUGUUUGCUGAGGACACAACUUUCACAGACUUCAUCUGGAUGAUCAAUGUGAGGCAAACCUUUGACCAUCUUCUUGCUUGCUAGCAUCUUCAAGCUCGUGAAAUUCAGAUGUCCAAGCCUCAGGUGCCAAAGCCAUUCUUCACUGUUGGUGAUGGCACUCAAACACCUUGCUGCAUCAUACUGGAUGUUCAAAGGAAACAUCCUAUUCUUGGACAUUUUCACAUAAGCCAUUAAUCUCCAAUUGUUGUCUCUAAUUGUCAGAUGACAAUUCUUCGAGUAAAAAGUAUAUCCUCUCUCCAAAAGUUGACCUAAGCUGAUCAGGUUCUGCUUUAUGGCUGGGACAUAAUAGACAUUGGCGAUGUAGCUGGAAUCGCCGUUCUUCAACUUAAUUGGGAUGCUGCCUUUACCUUUGAACGGAACCUUUGAGGUAUCUCCAAAAGUAACUAGACCUUGCUUGGUCUCAUCUAGAUCACUAAAUAACUCUCGGUAGCCACACAUGUGAUUGCUGGCUCCAGUAUCUAGAUACCAUAUAUUUUCCUGUUUCUCGCCAAGUUCUUGUUGGACAAGAAAUGCAGCUUCUUCUCUGUCAUCCUUCUCUGCAUAGUUGGCUUGCUCACGUAUCUCCAACGGAGCUUUCCUUCUGCAUUCAGUGCUAUAGUGCCCAAAUUGAUUGCAACUAUAACAUUGGAUAUUCCUCUUGUCACGGUUAUUGUAACCGCCUCCUCUUCCUCUAGGAGUGAAUGCUUGUUGUCCUCUACCUCCUCUGGUGGUGUUUCUACCACCUCUUCCUCUAAAGCUUGUAUUCCAAGAACCUCUUCCUUGGAAUCUCUGGAAUCCUCCUCUGGUUUGUUGACUUCCUGCUUGAGUGGUAUAUCCACUUGUUGAAGUCUCCCCUUGCUCAUAUCUCUCUUUGAGCGACAACUUUGCUUGUAAGGCAUGCUCGAUGGCCUUAUCUCCAUUUCGCUUUACAAUCUUCUGCUCAUGAGCUUGCAAAGAACUCAUAAGUUCAUCCACUGUCAACUUGUCCACUUCCUUGGACUCUUCAAUGGCGACAACAACAAAAUCAAAUUUUGGAUCUAGGGAUCUCAAAAUUUUCUCAGUAAUUCGAGAAUCGACGAUGGCUUCUCCAUUUCUCCUCAUCUGAUUGACUAUCACCAUAAUCCUUGUGUGAUAAUCAGAAAUAGAUUCCGAGGACUUCAUUUGCAAUAACUCAAAUUCACCUCGCAAAGAUUGAAGACGAAUCUUCUUGAUUCUGUCAGCACCUUUGUAUUUUUGUUGGAGAGCCUCCCAUAUGUCUUUUGAUGUUUCAGCGGAAGCAAUGAUCUCGAACGUAUCUUCAUCAAGACCUUGGUAGAUGAUGGUCUUUGCUUUGUUGUCCUUCUUUCUGUUGACUUUCAGGGCUUGCUUCUGUGCCUCUUGUAAAGCAUCUUCUUCUUCUUUAGACUCUGGUUCAUCAUAACCAUAAUGUACAAUCUCCAAACACUCUUGUGAACCAAGAAAUGCCUUUAAUCUGAUGCACCAACUAUCAUAGUUGUCUUUGGUCAGCUUCGGGAUGAGUGUUUGUGUACUUUCUGUAGUCAUUUUGCUCUUUUAAUGACUAUAUCUCCUUCUGGGAGUUGAAUUUGGCAAAACCGACACUUUAGAUCGAUCCGGAAUGGUCGAAAUAGUCGGGAACCGGUUUGACUUUGUAGAAAUCAGGUCAUAAAAUGGGUGAACCGGUCACAAAACCAAUUCUGGGCGUCGGGCGGUUCGCUGGGUUGAACCGGGAAUAUUCUGCGGAAUAUUCUAUCGGCUCGGCUGCGGCUAAUAGUGGCUCGGCUUAGCGGCUCGGCUUAACAAGGGAAUAUUCUCGGGAAUAUUCUUCGGCUCGGCUGGAGGCUUGGCUUGAGGCUCGGCGCGGCGCGGCUUAACCGGCUCCAAUAUGGCGCGCGUGUGGCUCAGGCGUCGUCUACCUCUGGGCGCGUGGCUGCGCGUGGUCAAACAGUGCAGAAUCUUCAGGCGGCGCGUGUGGGCUACCUCCGUCUCCGAUCAAGCUGAUUUUUGCGGUAGUGAGUUCGUCUGGAUGAGAUCUACACUGUGGAAUGAUCAAAACUUGUUUAUGACAACUUUGAAAAUUCGGAUAUCUCCCAAAAACACUUCUGUUUUCUGACGAACGGGGCUCUGAUACCAAUUGUUGGUGGGAGAAACCACUGGUGGUGGCUUUGAAACACUCGGAGGGGAUAAAACACAAAGUUGUAUUUCAAGAACAGAAGCUUACAGAAGCAAAAAUAAACACAAAAGCUUAAUACACGCCCUCUCUCUUUCUCUCUAGUGUUUCUCUCUACUCUCUCCACACAUAAUAGCAUAAGCUCAGCUUGCUAUUUAUACACGAAUUCAAAACAAGAUAAUUCAACCUUCAAGUAUGAAGGCGGCUGGCGGCCAAUGGUGUGAAGGCGGCUGGCGGCUGGUCGGUCACAGCUGGUGGCUGGCUGGCCGGUGGUUGCCUUCCUUGACCUUCUAGAUUGAUUGAGUUUAAUACAACAAAUCUCCCCUUUGAACUCAAUCGAGGGAUGUCAUGCCAAGCAUGAACUUCAUUCUAAUAAAUGUUUCCCUCUUCAAUGGCUUUGUAUUUUUGCACUUUUUCUUUUGCAUUCUUCUUUGUCUUAUAGACCCAUUUGACACCUAUUGCUUUCUUGCUUUCUGGUGGAUAAGUCAGCUUCCAGGUAUCAUUCUUCUCAAUGGCAUGCAUUUCUUCAUCCAUUGCUUCUAUCUUCUCUUCUGUGAUAGCUUUGUUGAAGCUAAGUGGGUCAUUAUCUGCAAAGAAACAAAACAAAUCUGUAUCUUCCAUUACUUGAGUGGCAUCGUACAGCUCUUCAAGAUUUCUCAUCCUUCUUGGUUCUUCUGACGAGGAUGUUGCUGCUGGUGUUGAUGAUGAUGCUCCUGGUGUGUUCCUCCUGUUGAAUACAGGGAAUCUGUGUACCGGACUUUGUGGUUCAGCUGUUGGUAUAAUCACCGGACUUUGUGGUUCAGCUGCUGGUACAAUUGGUUCUUCGACAAGUACUGUUGGUACUUCUUCACCUUCAAGGAUCAAAUCAAUGUUGAUCCAUCUGACUGCUUCUUUAUUAUCAGUCCAUUCCCAAGAUUUAUCUUCUUCAAAGAUAACAUCUCUACUCAUAAUCACCUUCUUCGUGAUGGGAUUAUACAGCUUGUAUCCCAUCCUUCUUUCACCAUAUCCCACAAAGAUGCAUCUCUCGCUUUUAUCAUCGAGUUUUCUCCUUCUUGCAUCUGGGAUCUUUGCAUAUGCCACACAACCAAAGACUCGUAGAUGAGUAACACUUGGUUUGUGACCACUCCAUGCUUCUUCUGGAGUGACUCCUUGCAAACUUCUGGUUGGGCAGCGAUUCAGUAGAUACACUGCACAUGAUACAGCUUCAGCCCAGUAUUGCUUGGGCAACUUCUUUGCUUUGAGCAGACUUCUUGCCAUGUCAAGAAUCGUGCGAUUCUUCCUUUCAGCUACACCAUUCAGCUGUGGUGUAUAAGCUGGUGUUGUCUGAUGUCUGAUGUCUUGUUGUGUACAAUAGGCUUCAAAGUCAUUUGCUGUAUAUUCUCCACCUUGAUCAGAUCUCACUGUUCUGAUCAUGUAGCCACUUUGCUUCUCCACAAUUGCUUUAAAAUCUUUAAAACAAUUGAAUACUUCUGACUUCCUCUUCAGAAAGUAUAUCCACGUCUUUCUACUAAAAUCAUCAAUAAAAGUGAGGAAGUACCUAUUAUGUCCAGUCGACAUAGGCGUAAUUGGGCCACACACAUCUGUGUGUACUAACUCCAGUGGCCUCUUUGCUUUCCAGUUGACUUCUUUGGCAAAACUGGAUCUGUGAUGUUUGCUGAGGACACAACUUUCACAGACUUCAUCUGGAUGAUCAAUGUGAGGCAAACCUUUGACCAUCUUCUUGCUUGCUAGCAUCUUCAAGCUCGUGAAAUUCAGAUGUCCAAGCCUCAGGUGCCAAAGCCAUUCUUCACUGUUGGUGAUGGCACUCAAACACCUUGCUGCAUCAUACUGGAUGUUCAAAGGAAACAUCCUAUUCUUGGACAUUUUCACAUAAGCCAUUAAUCUCCAAUUGUUGUCUCUAAUUGUCAGAUGACAAUUCUUCGAGUAAAAAGUAUAUCCUCUCUCCAAAAGUUGACCUAAGCUGAUCAGGUUCUGCUUUAUGGCUGGGACAUAAUAGACAUUGGCUUAACCGGCUCCAAUAUGGCGCGCGUGUGGCUCAGGCGUCGUCUACCUCUGGGCGCGUGGCUGCGCGUGGUCAAACAGUGCAGAAUCUUCAGGCGGCGCGUGUGGGCUACCUCCGUCUCCGAUCAAGCUGAUUUUUGCGGUAGUGAGUUCGUCUGGAUGAGAUCUACACUGUGGAAUGAUCAAAACUUGUUUAUGACAACUUUGAAAAUUCGGAUAUCUCCCAAAAACACUUCUGUUUUCUGACGAACGGGGCUCUGAUACCAAUUGUUGGUGGGAGAAACCACUGGUGGUGGCUUUGAAACACUCGGAGGGGAUAAAACACAAAGUUGUAUUUCAAGAACAGAAGCUUACAGAAGCAAAAAUAAACACAAAAGCUUAAUACACGCCCUCUCUCUUUCUCUCUAGUGUUUCUCUCUACUCUCUCCACACAUAAUAGCAUAAGCUCAGCUUGCUAUUUAUACACGAAUUCAAAACAAGAUAAUUCAACCUUCAAGUAUGAAGGCGGCUGGCGGCCAAUGGUGUGAAGGCGGCUGGCGGCUGCGGCUGGUGGCUGGCGGCUGGUCGGUCACAGCUGGUGGCUGGCUGGCCGGUGGUUGCCUUCCUUGACCUUCUAGAUUGAUUGAGUUUAAUACAACAAAAGUCACAGUGUUAAAAGCCCACACAAGUACAGCAUAAAUGGUAAGGACACACUUGUAGAAAGGCAAUACUAGCAAGAAAAAGUUAAGCGCGUAAGUCAUUUAAGUUUCUCAUAUAGCUAUAUACUAUCAAAGGAAGUAUUGUCAUCUUGACAUUUGACAAAAGAGCACAGUUCAAGCAUGUCGGGUUUUUUAUCUAGUUAUCUUGUUUGGAGCGUGUCUUUGCAUCCUUGGGAUUCACUUGUGCAAAUAUGGAUAUGGAUUGUGCAUGACAUUUAUCCCAGCAAAAUCAAUUAUACAAGGCUAAUCUCACACACCAUUUCAGAGUUGGCUAGGCUUCAACCAAAACCCAAACUACUCAGACCAUAUAUAUGAUAUCAUUAUUUUCACAAACUUUCAACAUGAUUUUCAUGCUUUUGUUGCUUAAAGUGCGUUUUCAGAGGUAAAGCACUUUCAACCGCAUCAUUAGUGUAUCUUCUCCAUUCGGUUUUAUUUAGAGCAGAACCUCAUAUGAGCUAUUCUGUUCAGAUCAAUAAUCAAUUAUAAUUCUUAAGAAAUGAAUUGUCUUUACUUCCAAGACAAAUCAUAACAUCUAAGAAAUCAUAGUAGAAUAGAUAUUGUUUUCUUUUACAGAAUCAUCCUUCACUCAUCAGCCAUCAUUCAAAUGUAAUUCUUGACGUAACAAUCAUUUCAAUUCAACAAAUCAAUAGUGGCUAGCUUCAAGGGUGCCUCAAAAUCCCAGAAACUAAUUAUAGACACGGGCAUGUUUAAUCAUUUAAUCACAAUUUUAACUGUCAAAAUCAAUAAAAAGUUAAUUAAUCUUCCUAGCUAUAUGAUCAAUCAUAUGGUCUUAAUUUCCAAAAGUACUCAUCACAAGCUGAAAUCAGAUCACCCCAGAUAACAAAACAGUCCAAAGAAUUAAAAAGCAAAACACUUUGAAAGAAAGAAAGAAAUGAUCAUCAAGGGUACCUGGUACAAGGGCUUGGGGAAGCCAUAGAAGUCUGGUAUCAUUUCGAUCAACAACAUUAACAGUAGGUUCGGUCUCCCAGUGAGCAGAAAUAACAAGAAUGGAACUCGGUUUCUCUUUGUACACACUUUGUUGCCAUGAUUUAAAGAAUUGUCUUGUUGGUGCGGUUUCAUCAAUAGCAAGUGUUGGAGCUCCAUGUGAGAGAUACAAUGUUUCCAUCAAAGCCAUUUUUUAUUUCGGUAAAAAAAAAUCAAGAAAACAAAGGUGGUAAACAAGAAAGAAAUUAUUAGAACAAAACAGCGUCACCUUCUUUCCUUAAAUAUAAUUAGUUGCUGCAAAAGAUCGCAAGCGGAGAUGACAAGUUGAGUUUUUGGAUUAAGAAAUGUUAAAGGGCAGCAUGACAGUGGACUGGUAAUUUCCUAUGUGAUUCUAUUCUCUCUUAUUCCUUGUGUUUAAUUUGUGCUAAUUUUCAUUUGUGCAAGGGUGAGUUUGUUCAUGAGAUUCAGUCUAAUUUUAAAGUAUUUUUUAAACUUUUUUUUAAUUAAAUUAAUAUUUUUUAUGUUAUUAAAUUAUACAUUGUAUUGUAUGUGGAUAUUGGGUGUCUUUGUGUUUUUCUAUACUUUUUUAUUAUUAUAUUUAUUCAUUAUCAUGAAGUUCAUUUGAAUUUACAUUCUUAUCACCUUUGAGAUUACAAGUAUUUAUUUAUUUGUGCUUAUAAAUAGAAAUAUUGUUGAGAGAAUAAUAACCAUACAUAUAACUACAAAUUCAUCUGAAAUAAUAGUGUUUUCUCUUCAUCCCUUAAUCUUUAUUGUUCUUAUAUAUUUUAUUUACAUUUUAUUAAUUAUAUUGUUUUAUUAUUAUAUGUUUCUUGAUAAAUAGUUUUACAAUAUUUUAAAUCUUUUUAAUAAUUUUGAAAUAUUAAUAUAAAAUAAUUUUUAAAGAAUAUUAUUUUUAUUUAUUUUAAUGUGAACAAUAUUUUUAUGAAAAUAAAUGGCAUUUACUAUCAAACAAAUAUUUAGGUAUCUGUUUGAAAACAAGGAUUUUGGAUGUGAAUUUGAUUUUUAACUGCAAUUAUGAUUUUUAAGUGUUUGAUAACAUUUUUAAAGCUAAUAUUGCAACUCUUUUCAUAUAUUAUUUUUAGAAACUAUAAUUUAUAGCUUUUUAAAAGCCAUAAUCACAACUUUAUCAAAUAAAAGUGUUACUUGCUAUUAAAUUCGACAUCUCUAAUCUAGUUUAAUAAUACAUCCAAAAUAAAUACAACUUGCAAAUAGUUAUAAUUUUUAAAUUUAAUCUUUAUGUUAUUGUUAUAAAACUAUGCUUGAAUUGAAUUUUAUUUUGAACUAAAGUUUUUGUACUAAAACAAUGUCGUGUUGAAAAACAUAACUAAAAAGAUAUUGUUGGUAUCUUUUGUAAAAAUAAAUAAAUGAAAAUCUAGGUUGACUCAUUUGCCCGUUCCAUUCACAUCUCGAAUUAAAUUGGAUAUUAUAACUAUGUUGUGUUGAUCUUGGAAUUUAUGAACGGCUAUUUCUAGACUGAUCUUUGGCAUUUCUGAGAUUCUGAAGGUAAAAUAUUGAUCUUUGGCGUUGCUUAUAAUUACUUAAAUAUAUCAUAAACCAAUCUUGAUAAGGUAAUACAAUCAAAAUCCCUAAACAAAAUGAAAAAGAAAAGAAAAUCCAAAAUUAACCAGAAAAAUCAAGUAAAAAUAACAAAUUUGGCUCAAAGAGAUCUUCGUGGCCCUCCUAUAAAAAUGAGCUUUGUAAAUCUUCUAGAAAAAAUUGAAUUUGAUUUAAACGAUCGAAUCCAAAUUAAGUUAUAGGUUUUUUAUUAUCACUAUGUUGAUCCAGCACAACCAUAUCUCUUUUUGAGCUUUACCAUGUCUACUUAUCUAUAAAAAUAUAUAUUUAUGGUAUAUCCCUGUCUGUCUUAUUAUGACAAAUUAUUGUUUAAUUGCUCAGAACUUUCAAUUUUUAUUAGCCUUUCAGUAUCAUCUUCUACCUAUCAAUAUACAAAACUCUCUCGCUGUCAUUUAUAUCAUAAUUCAGACAAUAUUUCAUUUUUCCAUCAUCAACACCUUUUAACUCGUUUCCUGUGCUUAGUAAUCAUGUGUUUGUGUACUCAGGAGGGGAUUCACCUGCAAUAUCCUUGAUUUACUGGUAAAUAUAUGUCCAGAACUAGAAGAUUCUUGCUUUGGGGUCACAUUUCCAGUGAUUUUGCAGUAAUCGCUUCCCUUGGAACUAAGACGUGCAGUGUAGCUUUCUUCAAAUAAACAGGAUCGAACCCUACAACUUCCCUUCAGCUAAUUUCUGGUAAAGGAAGAGUUAAUCAUGUUUGAUAAUGCUGUGGAUAAAUACGGAUAAUAAAAGUUAAUAAUAUUAUCAUGCUUGGGUAAAAUAUAAUGACCAGAUAUGGAGAAUUCGCAGGAUUCUUGAUGUUAUAUUUCUUUCUUGAUUUUUUUGCUUCCUCCAUUUGUAGGAAAAUUUUAAAGCAUGAUGAUGAUGUAGAGCUCUAAAAUUAUCUAAAGCUGAUGUAAACUGAAACUACAUUAAAAAAUAAUGAGUAGAAGAACAUAAAAUUUUCAAAAGAAUUAUUCACGCAGAAACUCUAAUUCUUAAAAGGUUUAUAAUUGUUUAAAUAAGCUCAAAAACCCAACAUAAACAAUUAGAAAACCAGAAAAUAAAGAAAAGGAUAAUAAACCUUCAAUAAACUAGAAAAAAAUAAUUAAGGAAAAAUAAUUUUUUUAAAACCUAUAUACUGCAUCAGAUGACGGCAUAAAUUUAUUAAUUAUUAAUUGAUUAACUAAUAUACUAAAAAACUAAUGCUGUUUUACUGUUCAUCAUCAACUGUUCAUCAUCAACUGUUCAUACACACAUAUCAUUGGUCAUUUUCUGCACCCUAUGAACAACACUCCCAUUUUCCAAAAUCUGUUUAGUAAUUGAAAAACAUACAGCUGCGCCACCUUCACACUGCACGCCAAAUGGCCAAGGACAUCCCUUCCAUUCCAUCUGAUGCACAAGAAAAAUCCUCCAAUCACAAGGGUACCUAAUCUUUAACUCCUGUGAAAUGAAAUCGAGGAGUGGAGCGAAGAAUGAUAACCAUCAACUAAUAAUUCAGAUUAAUUCUGACUAAUCCAUCUUCUUUGACGAAUGAUGAAGAUUUACGUGAAGGAGAAUUGUCGCCUUCUUCUUGUCUCCAGUCACUAAGCUAUGUCAUACUCCCCCUAAAGUUGUCAAACAGAAGGUGACAUCGUGCAAACCUUGAUCAUGGCCAUAAGGCAAUCACAUAAUACAACAAUCUUAAGAAGGCCUUAAAAAUAUAUAUGUCAUUUAUAAUGGAGAGAUAACUGAACCUCUUUUUGAAGGUUCUCUUGGUAUCUUUUGUAGCAUGUCCCCUAAGCUCUUCUAUUUAUUAAAGGGGGAAAGACUCAUGUAUCAGCCAAAUAUCUCUAAUCUGCCAGGAAAAAAUAUCUUCGACUUACAAUCCCAUUAGUGUUGUUUAAUAAUAAGAUGUAGAAUAUGUACUCGUUCCUUGUGAUUGAUUUAAUUAUAUAUGCUUUGUUUUACAGCUUCAGUUUAUUUUUUCACACACAAUGGCAUUUCUUCCAUGUAUAGAAAUCAAUUCCAAGCAAGCUCGUGAUUAAAGGAAACCAUCUUUCUGCAAUUUCUCUUUAGCAAAAUUAAUUUCAGUAGACAUUGGUCAUCUUAUUUUAGUUUUAUGAGAACCAUAUCUCAUAUAACAACUGACAUUGGUUAUCUUAGCAUCUUUUUCUCUCCUUUGUGCAUGUGCAAAAGCCAGACAGGCUGCCAAGUUAUGGUGUGCCAGAUGGGAAGCAAUGCCAGAACCCUCUCUUGCAAGGAAGGAGAUAGUUUUAUAGAAAAGAAAGAAUGGGAAGAGCAUUGCUUUUUCUUUCUACCCUUUUUCCUGCCCUAACCUAAUGGAUUGUUCCUCUCUCUUUUUUCCUGCUGAUAUAGGAAAUGCGGAAUUUCCCCAAGUAGCGUAUGUUUAUCCAUGCUAGCAGCUGACCCGAGUAGUACUGUUAUUUCUGGCCAAGUGAUGUUCUUUGGAGUUUCUAUCUUCAUUAAUUCAUUAGACUCAAGGAUUUUUUGUUUCUUUUGACUAAAAAUAAGCUUGCUGUUUACCGCCAAUUUCUAUUGACUUCUCCAAAGAAAAAAACAUAAAGUUGCUACCAAAUCGCAUGCAAUGGCUUUAAUAGCUAGUCUUCCACUAAGAGAGAUCUCUCUUAGUAUACCAUUGAUCCAAAUUUCUCAAACCUUUCUCAUGAUCUGUGCCUCCUUUUCUGAUUGAAUUGAAUCAUCUCGUUUUGAGUUCAACUUCUUUCUUGCUUGCAAGGUAAAUCCUACUCUCUUUUCUUGUUUUUCUACCACUAAUAUGGUUGUAGAAUUAAUAAGUAGGAUUGUAGAUUUAUCAAUCAGGUAGAACUUAAUUAUAUAUGCUGCUUAAUCUAUUUUAGAACUCAAAACCCAUAUUAUAGCAUUGUUCUUACAUGUUCAUAUUGCAAUCAACUUCAACUACUUAUCUUAAAAACAGUUGUUCUCUAGGUUUCUUUGUCUGUUGAGCGCCUCUUGUCAGCUUGAUAGGUGACUAGUUUGACGACUCUUUCUCAUAUUCCAAUCAGCUUUCCAGAUUUUCAACAUUGGGGUGCGUCCACACGUUACCUCACUCAACAAUUAGCUUCAGAUUCUUUUGUUAAAUUCUUUUGAAUCCAAGUAAAGUAAUUAUACUUCAUCUUUAUUAUGGAAUUUGUUGUAAUAUAGGAAAUGUUGUACUUUCCUUUUAUAGAUUUAUCAUGCGUUGUAUCGUACACAAUAACUAAUAUAUGUUGCCCUAGUUGUAUAAAUAGAAGAGAGGGUCGAAUCAAUGCUUUAACUUGGCAUCAGAGCAGGAAAUAUCCUAACAGAUUUACGCCUUCCUCCUUCUCCCCUUGCCCGGCGCCUCCUCCUCUUCUGCCGAUUACGGCUGCAGUAUUUUGGUUCUUCACUCUUGCGUUCUCUGCUCCCUCUUCUUCUCCUUGAUACUAUCUUCCUCCUGGAGCAUACUCCAGCAGCAUACUGCACUCUUGAAAGCAGUAACAUACUCUAGUGAACAAACAACAGUCCCCUCUGCAAAAAUAACACUGCUGCAGAUUCAUUCCAGCAGCAACUCUCCGUUUCCUCCAGCUUCAACUUUGGGGUGCGUCCACACGUUACCUCACUCAACAAUUAGCUUCAGAUUCUUUUGAAUCCAGGUAAAGUAUUUAUACUUCAUCUUCUUCAUUUUGUUGCUGUCUUUGUUUUUGACAUGUUACUAUUGUUUGAAUCUUUUUAAGUAAAACACAGGUUGUUGAAAUCUUAUUGAGAAACUUUGGAGUUAGGAUCGUCAUUAGUUUCCAAAUAUAUAAAUAAAUUGAUCUUUCUUAGUUUUUAUAAUCCAUGCCUUCUAGAGUUCAUACCAAAUUCAUUGUUAAUACUAUUUGUUUUGAUUCAUCCAAACAAAAGUGCCCAUUUGGUUGUAGAAUUGGUUCCUUGAUCAUAUUAGAUCUUAAGUAUAUUGUUAGCUUUGUUCUUACAUGUUCAUAUUGCUAUCAACCUCAACCACUUAUCUUCAAAACAAGCAGAAUUUCUUUCAAAUUUUUAUUUUAGAUUGCUUUUCUAACAAUUAUUUAAAUUAUUCAAUAUUUGUUAUAAUUUUUUAUCUUCUUAAAGUACAUCUCUUUAGGAAAAUAUAUAGUUAAGUGCCUGCCUAUUUAAUAUGUAAUGAUUGAUUUAAUUAUACAGAUUCAGUUUAUUUUUUUAACACAUUUACGGCUAGGAUGUUUGCUGGUUGUAGACAAACUGUAGGAUUUGUUCUUGCUGCCUUUGCUUCUGGGCUUCUUUCUUUGAAGGGCACUGUGCACUCUUUUCCUUUGCUUACUUAUUUAAAAAAUAAUGAUUUCCUCUAAUAUUACAUUUUAAGAUUGAGUUCUUAAUUUCCAAUUAAUUCAACAGCCAUUUUUUAUGCGUUACUUUUGACAAUUUUUUAUUUGAUGUUUGAAGGGCCAAAGAAGAAAGCGGUGAAAUGACUAGACCGAAUGAUCCAUUUUGGGAUCAUGUUGAGAAGCUGGAUGAUGGUCGUUUCAACUGUAAAUUUUGUGGCUAUAAAUUUGCUGCUGCUGCUUCCGUUACGAUGAUCAAAUGGCAUUUGUCAGGAGUCCAAGGGCGUGGUGUUACAAUUUGUAGACAAGUGCAGAAUCUGAAGAGAGGUAGCUCUCUUGAGAGGCCAUCAAUUAAUCAAGCCGACGAGCCUCGAGGAGAUUCAUCCCCGCCAAAGGAUCUAUUGUGUCUUGGCCUUGGAAGUUAUCAUGAUCAACUCUGUUCUCCAUCUGCAAAAAACGAUGUCAUUAUGGAUGAUGUGCAGAACAUAUUUAGAGAGAAAACAGAACCAGUAGCUAGUAUGUUGGAGCAAAGCUAUGCAAUACUUAAUAAAUUGGCAGGUGAUGAUGGAAGGAUACAAGUGGGAGUUCAGGCCAUCGAACAAGGUGCAGAGGAAGAGUUAAUUUGUUCGCAUCCAGAAGCAGGAAGUGGCAUGGAAAACACCUGUGAAGGAUUUAUUCAGCAUGUUGACAGAAAUGUCUCCCCAGGUAAAUUAUUUGUACCUCAUCGUCUUUUUUUUUUUUUUUUUUUAUCUUACCAUUUCGUUUUUCACAUGGAACUAUUGUUUGAAUCUUUGGAGCUAGGAUCAUUAAUAGUUUCAAUCAAUUGGUCUUUCUUGGUUUAUAUAAUCCAUGCUUUAUGGUGUUCAAGCUAAAUUGAUCCUAAACCUAUUUUCCUUCCCACGUCUCAUCAGAACGAGCUAGAUUAAUGGAGAACAGUAGUGGAAGAUUAGUGCAGUCCAGCACAAGUGCCAGCUCUACAAAGCUAGUGGGUCGAGCAUUUGAACAGAAUAUAAAGGUGAUACGGUCUUGGUUAAUGGAUGAUGAAAUCUCAACCAUUGGCAUUUAUGGAAUGGGAGGAGUUGGUAAAACGACAUUGCUGCAACAUAUCCGCAAUGAGCUUCUAGAAAGACAAGAUAUUUCUCGUAGUGUUUACUGGGUGAAUGUGCCUCAAGGUUUCAAGAUUGAAGAAUUGCAAGAUCUUAUUGCUAAAUAUCUUCAUUUAGAUCUUUCAAGCAAAGAUGAUGAUCUGUCUAGAGCUGUCAAACUGGCAAAAGAACUAGCAAAGAAACAAAAAUGGAUUCUCAUUUUAGAUGAUUUGUGGAACUCUUUUGAGCCACAAGAAGUGGGGAUUCCUAUCCCAUUGGAAGGAUCCAAGCUCAUUAUGACAACUCGAUCAGAAAUGGUUUGUCGUCAGAUGAAUAGCCGAAACAAUAUAAGAGUGGAUGCUCUUUCUGAUGAAGAAUCUUGGACCUUGUUCACGGAGAGGCUUGGACAAGACAUACCACUUUCUCCAGAAGUGGAACGAAUUGUUGUAGAUGUUGCAAGGGAAUGUGCUGGUUUGCCUUUGGGAAUUGUUACAUUAGCAGCAAGUUUGAAGGGAAUCGAUGACCUACAUGAGUGGAGGACUACAUUGAAGAGAUUGAAAGAAUCAAAUUUUUGGGACAUGGAAGAUCAAAUAUUCCAGAUAUUAAGAUUGAGUUAUGAUUGUUUAGAUGAUUCAGCACAACAAUGUUUUGUAUAUUGUGCAUUAUUUGAUG